CAGUUGUUGAACCGGAUGCAAUCAUACACUGAAAACAAGUAAUGUCGGCUGAUAAAAAUAGCUGUAUUAACUCUUUAUCUACCUUAGCAUUUACUUCCACGAGUGUAGACAUUAGCAUGUGUUUCCAUGGGGUGUGCAGUUGCAGUUGUGCCUCAAAUGCCAUGGAGUAGCUGACUGCAUGGAGGGUAAAACACCUAUAUCCAAUCCCAUACCCGUUCCCACUCCCCUUCUUCACAUCUGAGGGAGGGGAUGGCAGAAGGCACAGCUUCCUGCCCUUAGUGACUAGAGCAUCAUCCUACCAGCAAAUCCCAGCUGCCCUCUAUAUCCCUCUAGCUGCCAGGUCUCAGAUUUCCCCCAGACAGCGUGAUGGUGGUGUGCAUUAUCAGCUCUUCUGUCUUUGCCUGGAGUUUGAGGACAAUGUAACAGCAGUUGAACUUGGUAUCACAACAAAUAAAUAGGAGAGGAUCCAGGUCCUUCAGUGUCUUCUGUGGGAGGAACAUACCCCACAUGGCAUCUUCUGUGGCUAAGUAACAGGCUCCAGCAAGGAGCAGAGCUUGGCUUCUCUCAAAGAAGAUGCUGGAUGAGGCCCCUCUCAAUCUAGGAAUCUUCCACUUCAAGGCUCAGAAAGAGGAAGGGAAAUUCUGAAUUCCGUGCCCAGAAAGGUCAAGAGCAGCAAAUGAGAAGAAAGAAAAUGAGCUCCAAGCUGAAGGCUCCCUCCAAGAAUGCCCUGGCUGAGGCAGGAAAUGAAUAGCACCAUCAUAGCAGGCUACAGCCCCUUAAGGGGCUGAGCAGAAGUCUAAAAGGGGUGCCUUGCAGACAUGUUAUGAGGACCUCUGCCUCCAGAAACAAACUUGAAAAAGCACUCAGCUGGCUCUGCUACAGCAUACAGGAACAGGGGCA